UAAUCGAUGGGGGGACGCAGUAGGAUAGGCGAAGCGUGCGAUUGGAUUGCACGUCUAAGCAGUAAGGCUGAGUAUUAGGCAAAUCCGGUACUCGUUAAGGCUGAGCUGUGAUGGGGAGAAGACAUUGUGUCUUCGAGUCGUUGAUUUCACACUGCCGAGAAAAGCCUCUAGAUAGAAAAUAGGUGCCCGUACCGCAAACCGACACAGGUAGUCAAGAUGAGAAUUCUAAGGUGAGCGAGCGAACUCUCGUUAAGGAACUCGGCAAAAUGACCCCGUAACUUCGGGAGAAGGGGUGCUCUUUAGGGUUAACGCCCAGAAGAGCCGCAGUGAAUAGGC
rnacentral:rRNA from 1 species